rnacentral:lncRNA from 1 species
UCCAGGUACUUCUACUCAGGCUUACCAUCCUUGAGGGAAGCGUCUGCUCUAGUGACUUCAAGGUACAUCCGCCGCGUCCGUAGACUGAGGAGUCCAUUCUAUUCUAGGUGUUGGACAUUGCCCUUCUGUAUUUUUCUUUCUUGUUAGAUAUUAUGGAGUUGGACUGUUAGAUAAUUCCAAACACUUGUGUUCCCAUGAGUUUUCAGGUUUUGGGAUAGUGUAUUUGGUUUGAGAAUGUUGUGUUGUCUAUGCCGAGCGGCAUUAUAACUAUUAUUUCC